GGUUCCGUGGUCUAGCUGGUUAUGGCAUCUCGUUAACAUUUCGAACAUGAGAAGUUUGUCAUUACCGAGAAGGUCCCCGGUUCGAGCCCGGGCGGAAUCA